rnacentral:rRNA from 1 species
GCCUAACACAUGCAAGUCGAACGGUAACAGGAAGCAGCUUGCUGCUUCGCUGACGAGUGGCGGACGGGUGAGUAAUGUCUGGGAAACUGCCUGAUGGAGGGGGAUAACUACUGGAAACGGUAGCUAAUACCGCAUAACGUCGCAAGACCAAAGUGGGGGACCUUCGGGCCUCAUGCCAUCAGAUGUGCCCAGAUGGGAUUAGCUUGUUGGUGAGGUAACGGCUCACCAAGGCGACGAUCCCUAGCUGGUCUGAGAGGAUGACCAGCCACACUGGAACUGAGACACGGUCCAGACUCCUACGGGAGGCAGCAGUGGGGAAUAUUGCACAAUGGGCGCAAGCCUGAUGCAGCCAUGCCGCGUGUAUGAAGAAGGCCUUCGGGUUGUAAAGUACUUUCAGUGAGGAGGAAGGC